rnacentral:ncRNA from 2 species
ACCAAGGAGUCUGACAUGUGUGCAAGUCAACAGGCGAGUAAACCUAUAAGGUGCAAGGAGUUUAUUGGUGGGAUCCCCCUUUGGGUUGCACCACUGGCCGACCCUGAUCUUCUGUGAAUGGUUUAAGUGAGAGCAUACCUAUUGGGACUCGAAAGAUGGUGAACUAUGCCUGAGCGGGACAAAGCCAGAUGAAACUCUAGUGGAGGCCUGCAGUGAUACUAACGUGCAAAUCGUUUGUCUGACUUGGGUAUAGGGGCAAAAGACUAAUUGAACCGUCUAGUAGCUGGUUCCCUUCGAUGUUUCCCUUCGAAUAGUUGGAGCCCACGGGCGAGUUCUAUCGGGUAAAGCCAAUGAUUAGAGGCAUCGGGGGCACAACGCCCUUGACCUAUUCUCAAAAUUUAAAUAGGUAGGACGGCAUAGCUGCUCUGUUAAGCCACGCCAUUGAAUCAAGAGCUCUAAGUGGGCCAUUUUUGGUAAGCAGAAUUCGCGAUGCGGAAUGAACCAAAAGCUGGGUUGCGGCGCCCAAGUGUGCACUAACCUAGAACCCACAAAGGGUGUUGGUCGAUUAAGACAGUAGGACAGUGGUCAUGGAAGUUGAAAUCCACUAAGGAAUGUGUAACAACUCACUUGUCGAAUCAACUAGCCACAAAAAUGGAUGGCGCUAAAGCGUGCGACCUAUACCCGACUGUCGGGGCAAGGACCAAGCCCCAAUGAGUAGGAAGGUGCGGUGGUCACUGCAAAGCCCAAGGUGUAAGCUCAGGCGGAGUGCCCGUCAAUGCAAAUCUUGGUGUUAGUAGAAAAUAUUCAAAUGAGAACUUUGAAGGCUGCAAAGGGGAAAGGUUCCAUGUGAGCGACACUUGCAUAUGGGUUAGUCGAUCCUAAGGAAUAGGGGAAGCCCGUUUGAUAGCGCUCUGUGCAUGUACUCCGAAAGGGUAUUAGGUUAAAAUUCCUGAAUCGGGAUAUGGCGGCUAAUGGCAAUGUUAGGGAAUCCAAAGACGUUGACAGGGGCCCUGGAAAGAGUUAUCUUUUCUAUUUAACAGCCUGCCCACCCUAGAAAUGACUCAACCAGAGGUAGGGUCCAAUGGCUGGAAGAGCACUGCACAUUGCAUGGUGUCCGGUGUGCCCCCGAUAGCCCUUGAAAAUCCGGAGGACUGAGUGCCUCCCAUGCCCGGUCGUACUCAUAAGGACAUCAGGUCUCCAAGGUGAAUAACCUCUGGUC